AGAGGUGAAUGCAGAGGGAACAGGUUGAGUUAAUUUUGGCCCCUUCGUGUAGUGACCCACCCAGACCAGACGACCAGUUUGUCCAUGAAGCACUGCUAAAGCUCAAAGAGAUUUUAUAAGUGUGUAACAGGGAAGUUUGGGGAGGGGUGUUGGUGGGGGAGGGGAGACAUUUGCUGGGGGAGGAGCCUCUGAGAACAGCUCCAGGGGAAUUGGUAUAAGGGGAGGAGCCAUACAGAGGGAGGAGGAGCCUGUGCAUUGCUGUCAGGUGGAGCAACUGAACCUAUCGGACCUGCACUGGCUUCUCAUUCAGGGAAAGUCAGGCCAAUCUUUUGGGUACAAUGAGCAGAAUCUUUCCUCUGGGUUUAGUCCUGAACCUUCUCACAUGUCUGUGCCUUGGGGUGAAGGUGAUUCAGGAGCCAAAGCUUGUGGUUGUCCAGGCUGGGAAACCAGUGAAUGUUGGGUGCAAACAUAACGACAGCUCCUACAUCCCAAUGUUCUGGUACCUCCAGCAGCCGGGCCUGGGGCUGAAGCUCAUGGUUUACUCAGCUGGUACUGGAUUGGGGGAUAUGGAGGAAGGGUUCAAGUCCUGGAAGCUGGAGAGACCAGAGGUGCUGGAGUCCAAACUCACCCUGGAAUCUGUAGGGAGCAGUAAUUCGGCUGUUUAUUUCUGUGCUGUCAGUAUCACAGCCACAGGGUCCAGGACAGGCGGCAGCACAAAACCUGCUGUUUAGGGUGAUGAUCCUCUAGAUGGAGCUGUUCCCUGGCUGUAGAUUCACUCCCUAUAAAAGAUACAGUUAUGGUACAGAGGGAAAACAGGGAAGAGAACCACGUGUGGUUAAAAACAUUUUUUGACUUCAUUGUUUCUUGGAUUCCAAAAUAAUGGGUUCAGUGCAUCCCUAA